AACGGCAUCACGCCACCGGCCGGGGCGCGAGCCACAAUCUAGUUACCUUAGCUCACAACUCAGCAGUAUAUUAGAUUUCACGAAGAAGGAAGUCACGGAGCAAGCGCUACUUAACAGGUGUUCCAAUGUUUUUGAUGACAAGACUAGCACAACCCUGCGAGAUACCAUAAUGGGACCAUAGCCUACGUCAGGAUUCAACAGGCUCUAUUUCAACACCGACCCGGCAUUGCUGUCAUGGGUCCAUUAUAUACGUAAGCUAUGGAUACAGAAUAAUUGAGGAGGAUCUUGAUAAUUCAGGUUGAUCGGAAGUGGAAAGAACUGCGGCGCACCACCAUACUGGGACAUAGUAGAAGUGUUUGGCAGCAUAAGGAAGAAGAAUUGGCAUCCGAUUUAUGCUCUCUGUUUUUGGAUUCCAGGAGAGCAGUGCAGUCCCUUAAGGCUCCAUUCACACGUCCGCAAAUGUUGUCCACGCCCGUUCCGCAAUUGUGCGGAACGGGUGCGAACCCAUUCAUUCUUUAUGGGGACUGAAUGGAUGCGAAGAGCACACUAUGGGCUCUCCGCAUCCGCAUUUCCGGAGCGCAGCCCCGAUCUUCCAGUCUGCAGCUCCGGAAGAAAAUAGAGUAUGUCCUAUUCUUGUCCGCAAUUGCAGACAAGAAUUGGCAUUUCUAUGGGGGUGUCGGCCGGGUAUAGUGCGGACACACAAUUUGCGGAUCCGCAAUGCACUACAGAUGUGUGAAUGGACCCUAACUUUGUUUUACUUGCGUGAAUGUGAAUUGAACCCACUUCACGUAGGACUAGCAGCAAUUACAGUAAGAUAUAUAACCCGGGUUUUUCUCAGUAUAUUUUAUUGGCCAUAUCAAUAUCCACAUCAACUGAUCUAGAUUAUAGCAUAUUAUAGAAACAUAGAAUGUGUCGGCAGAUAAGAA